ACAGGAUCACUGUACUUGAACAAGAGAAGAUUGAGCGUGGAGUCAGAAGUUGCCUGGGUCUCUUGAAAAGUCCAAUAAAUCUCUUCUUUGGAGAACUGGAUGACCUUCAUUCCUUGAGAAGGAAAUGGUUUCAGAGUUCUGCCAAUUGUUGGUAUCUGAGCUUGGGCAACAAUACAUUCGUUCACAAGUAUAACUCCAGAUCUUCCAUCAGAAGAGCAGUUUCUCCAUGUCUUGAAAUUUUGUUAACCAUAAAAUUUGUUUCUGUGGAUGAACAAAACUGAGCACAAAUGCUGAUGUAUCCAUUUAGAUCCAAGGCUGCAAAGUCUUCAAUCCUUUCCUUGACUAGACAACAGCAAAUCAGUCCAGGAUAAUCAUAUGUUUUUGUGCUUCCUAUAUAUUCAGAGCAAGGAAUCUACUUUUUCUGUGGUAAUGAUGUUUGAUGACGCUCUGUUGAGAGGGAAGGACAUAGAAGACUUCUGUGGCAUUCUCUUUCUCCAUGCCAACCACUUUCCAAAAAAGGGAUAACAUCCUAAACUGGAAGCCAUCAUACAACUCUAAGAAAGGGUGAGAAGGAUGUUGAGGUUGGCUCUGCAGAAAUUGAUGGCUUCUGGAAGAAGAGAGGAAGGGGAUUGACUCAGUUCUACUUAAGCAAGCAAAAGGUUCAACGUUGAGUUAGAAACUAGGAUCAAGAAUUUCUCCAACAAUCUGACUUCGGAGUGGUGACAUUAAAGCUACUAUGAAUGCUGCUGUUGGGAAUACAGGUGUACAGAUAAAUGUUUCAUUGUGGACCAUGACAUCAGACCAUUCAAGUGGACCAUGACAUCAGACAGAAGAACUCAGAAGGUUUAGUCAUCUCAAACACCAUGAAUCUCACAAUUGAUAACGAAUCUCUGCCUACCAUGAGACAGUGUUGUUGGAGGACGAAAUCUGAAAAUCAUGGCUGGGAAAAAGGAUGUGUUUUAAUGAAUAAAGAUAUUUACAUAUCCA